rnacentral:rRNA from 1 species
GGGUUGUGAGGUUAAGCGACUAAGCGUACACGGUGGAUGCCCUGGCAGUCAGAGGCGAUGAAGGACGUGCUAAUCUGCGAUAAGCGUCGGUAAGGUGAUAUGAACCGUUAUAACCGGCGAUUUCCGAAUGGGGAAACCCAGUGUGUUUCGACACACUAUCAUUAACUGAAUCCAUAGGUUAAUGAGGCGAACCGGGGGAACUGAAACAUCUAAGUACCCCGAGGAAAAGAAAUCAACCGAGAUUCCCCCAGUAGCGGCGAGCGAACGGGGAGCAGCCCAGAGCCUGAAUCAGUGUGUGUGUUAGUGGAAGCGUCUGGAAAGGCGCGCGAUACAGGGUGACAGCCCCGUACACAAAAAUACACAUACUGUGAGCUCGAUGAGUAGGGCGGGACACGUGGUAUCCUGUCUGAAUAUGGGGGGACCAUCCUCCAAGGCUAAAUACUCCUGACUGACCGAUAGUGAACCAGUACCGUGAGGGAAAGGCGAAAAGAACCCCGGCGAGGGGAGUGAAAAAGAACCUGAAACCGUGUACGUACAAGCAGUGGGAGCACGCUUAGGCGUGUGACUGCGUACCUUUUGUAUAAUGGGUCAGCGACUUAUAUUCUGUAGCAAGGUUAACCGAAUAGGGGAGCCGAAGGGAAACCGAGUCUUAACUGGGCGUUAAGUUGCAGGGUAUAGACCCGAAACCCGGUGAUCUAGCCAUGGGCAGGUUGAAGGUUGGGUAACACUAACUGGAGGACCGAACCGACUAAUGUUGAAAAAUUAGCGGAUGACUUGUGGCUGGGGGUGAAAGGCCAAUCAAACCGGGAGAUAGCUGGUUCUCCCCGAAAGCUAUUUAGGUAGCGCCUCGUGAAUUCAUCUCCGGGGGUAGAGCACUGUUUCGGCAAGGGGGUCAUCCCGACUUACCAACCCGAUGCAAACUGCGAAUACCGGAGAAUGUUAUCACGGGAGACACACGGCGGGUGCUAACGUCCGUCGUGAAGAGGGAAACAACCCAGACCGCCAGCUAAGGUCCCAAAGUCAUGGUUAAGUGGGAAACGAUGUGGGAAGGCCCAGACAGCCAGGAUGUUGGCUUAGAAGCAGCCAUCAUUUAAAGAAAGCGUAAUAGCUCACUGGUCGAGUCGGCCUGCGCGGAAGAUGUAACGGGGCUAAACCAUGCACCGAAGCUGCGGCAGCGACGCUUAUGCGUUGUUGGGUAGGGGAGCGUUCUGUAAGCCUGCGAAGGUGUGCUGUGAGGCAUGCUGGAGGUAUCAGAAGUGCGAAUGCUGACAUAAGUAACGAUAAAGCGGGUGAAAAGCCCGCUCGCCGGAAGACCAAGGGUUCCUGUCCAACGUUAAUCGGGGCAGGGUGAGUCGACCCCUAAGGCGAGGCCGAAAGGCGUAGUCGAUGGGAAACAGGUUAAUAUUCCUGUACUUGGUGUUACUGCGAAGGGGGGACGGAGAAGGCUAUGUUGGCCGGGCGACGGUUGUCCCGGUUUAAGCGUGUAGGCUGGUUUUCCAGGCAAAUCCGGAAAAUCAAGGCUGAGGCGUGAUGACGAGGCACUACGGUGCUGAAGCAACAAAUGCCCUGCUUCCAGGAAAAGCCUCUAAGCAUCAGGUAACAUCAAAUCGUACCCCAAACCGACACAGGUGGUCAGGUAGAGAAUACCAAGGCGCUUGAGAGAACUCGGGUGAAGGAACUAGGCAAAAUGGUGCCGUAACUUCGGGAGAAGGCACGCUGAUAUGUAGGUGAAGUCCCUCGCGGAUGGAGCUGAAAUCAGUCGAAGAUACCAGCUGGCUGCAACUGUUUAUUAAAAACACAGCACUGUGCAAACACGAAAGUGGACGUAUACGGUGUGACGCCUGCCCGGUGCCGGAAGGUUAAUUGAUGGGGUUAGCGCAAGCGAAGCUCUUGAUCGAAGCCCCGGUAAACGGCGGCCGUAACUAUAACGGUCCUAAGGUAGCGAAAUUCCUUGUCGGGUAAGUUCCGACCUGCACGAAUGGCGUAAUGAUGGCCAGGCUGUCUCCACCCGAGACUCAGUGAAAUUGAACUCGCUGUGAAGAUGCAGUGUACCCGCGGCAAGACGGAAAGACCCCGUGAACCUUUACUAUAGCUUGACACUGAACAUUGAGCCUUGAUGUGUAGGAUAGGUGGGAGGCUUUGAAGUGUGGACGCCAGUCUGCAUGGAGCCGACCUUGAAAUACCACCCUUUAAUGUUUGAUGUUCUAACGUUGACCCGUAAUCCGGGUUGCGGACAGUGUCUGGUGGGUAGUUUGACUGGGGCGGUCUCCUCCUAAAGAGUAACGGAGGAGCACGAAGGUUGGCUAAUCCUGGUCGGACAUCAGGAGGUUAGUGCAAUGGCAUAAGCCAGCUUGACUGCGAGCGUGACGGCGCGAGCAGGUGCGAAAGCAGGUCAUAGUGAUCCGGUGGUUCUGAAUGGAAGGGCCAUCGCUCAACGGAUAAAAGGUACUCCGGGGAUAACAGGCUGAUACCGCCCAAGAGUUCAUAUCGACGGCGGUGUUUGGCACCUCGAUGUCGGCUCAUCACAUCCUGGGGCUGAAGUAGGUCCCAAGGGUAUGGCUGUUCGCCAUUUAAAGUGGUACGCGAGCUGGGUUUAGAACGUCGUGAGACAGUUCGGUCCCUAUCUGCCGUGGGCGCUGGAGAACUGAGGGGGGCUGCUCCUAGUACGAGAGGACCGGAGUGGACGCAUCACUGGUGUUCGGGUUGUCAUGCCAAUGGCACUGCCCGGUAGCUAAAUGCGGAAGAGAUAAGUGCUGAAAGCAUCUAAGCACGAAACUUGCCCCGAGAUGAGUUCUCCCUGACUCCUUGAGAGUCCUGAAGGAACGUUGAAGACGACGACGUUGAUAGGCCGGGUGUGUAAGCGCAGCGAUGCGUUGAGCUAACCGGUACUAAUGAACCGUGAGGCUUAACCUUACAACGCCGAAGGUGUUU